GACGAACGCUGGCGGCGUGCCUAAUACAUGCAAGUUGAGCGCUGAAGGUUGGUACUUGUACCAACUGGAUGAGCAGCGAACGGGUGAGUAACGCGUGGGGAAUCUGCCUUUGAGCGGGGGACAACAUUUGGAAACGAAUGCUAAUACCGCAUAAAAACUUUAAACACAAGUUUUAAGUUUGAAAGAUGCAAUUGCAUCACUCAAAGAUGAUCCCGCGUUGUAUUAGCUAGUUGGUGAGGUAAAGGCUCACCAAGGCGAUGAUACAUAGCCGACCUGAGAGGGUGAUCGGCCAACUUGGGACUGAGACACGGCCCAAACUCCUACGGGAGGCAGCAGUAGGGAAUCUUCGGGAAUGGACGAAAGUCUGACCGAGCAACGCCGCGUGAGUGAAGAAGGUUUUCGGAUCGUAAAACUCUGUUGGUAGAGAAGAACGUUGGUGAGAGUGGAAAGCUCAUCAAGUGACGGUAACUACCCAGAAAGGGACGGCUAACUACGUG
rnacentral:rRNA from 1 species